rnacentral:rRNA from 1 species
UACAGAGGGGGCAAGCGUUGUUCGGAAUUACUGGGCGUAAAGGGCGCGUAGGCGGCCUUCUAAGUCGAACGUGAAAUCCCCGGGCUCAACCCGGGAACUGCGUCCGAUACUGCAAGGCUCGAGUCCGGGAGAGGGGGGUGGAAUUCCCAGUGUAGCGGUGAAAUGCGUAGAUAUCGGGAGGAACACCAGUGGCGAAGGCGACUUCCUGGCCUGUUCUUGACGCUGAGGCGCGAAAGCUAGGGGAGCAAACAGG